AAAGGAAUAGACGGGGGCCCGCACAAGCGGAGGAACAUGUGGUUUAAUUCGAUGAUACGCGAGGAACCUUACCUGGGCUUAAAUGUAGAGUGCAUUUUCUAGAGAUAGAAAUUCCCUUCGGGGCUUUCUGCAAGGUGCUGCAUGGUUGUCGUCAGCUCGUGCCGUGAGGUGUCGGGUUAAGUCCCAUAACGAGCGCAACCCUUAUCGUUAGUUGCCAGCUGGUAAAGCAGGGGACUCUAGCGAAACUGCCACCGUAAGGUGAGAGGAAGGUGGGGAUGACGUCAAAUCAGCACGGCCCUUAUGUCCAGGGCUACACACGUGUUACAAUGGCCGGUACAGAGGGCUGCUACCUGGUGACAGGAUGCUAAUCUCGAAAACCGGUCUCAGUUCGGAUCGAAGUCUGCAACUCGACUUCGUGAAGCCGGAUUCGCUAGUAAUCGCGCAUCAGCAACGGCGCGGUGAAUACGUUCCCGGGCCUUGUACACACCGCCCGU
rnacentral:rRNA from 1 species